ACGUCUACAUUAGAUACCCCUGUAGUCCUAGCCGUAAACGAUACUCGCUAGGUGUCGGCCACGGUGCGACCGUUGUCGGUGCCGUAGGGAAGCCGUGAAGCGAGCCACCUGGGAAGUACGGCCGCAAGGCUGAAACUUAAAGGAAUUGGCGGGGGAGCACAACAACGGGUGGAGCUUGCGGUUUAAUUGGAUUCAACGCCGGAAAUCUUACCGGGACCGACAGCAACAUGAAGGCCAAGCUGAAGACUUUGCCGGAUUAGCUG
rnacentral:rRNA from 1 species